AACAUCGCGCACCUGCGGGAACCUGCGGAAGGAUCAUUACCGAGUUAGGGUCUUCCUGGCCCGACCUCCAACCCUUUGUUUACUAUACCCAUGUUGCUUUGGCGGGCCUGCCUUUCGGGGCUGCCGGGGGCAUCACUGCCCUUGACCUGUGCCUGCCAGGAGCCUUCUUUAAAUUUUGUGUUCAACUGUGUUGUCUGAGUCCCAAUAUCAAAAUAUAAAAAACUUUCAGCAAUGGAUCUC
rnacentral:misc_RNA from 1 species